rnacentral:rRNA from 1 species
GACAGAGGCCUCAAGUGUUAGGCGGAAUCACUGGGCUUAAAGCGUGUGUAGGUGGAUUUGUAAGUACCUUGUGAAAUCCCACGGCUUAACCGUGGAACUGCUUGGUAUACUGCUUAUCUUGGGCCAUCUAGGGGUUACCGGAACAAACGGUGGAGCGGUGAAAUGCGUAGAUAUCGUUUGGAACGCCAAUGGUGAAAACAGGUAACUGGGGAUGUGCCGACACUGAGACACGAAAGCCAGGGGAGCGAACGGG